AAGCAUGAAGCCCCCCUCAAGAUGAGAUUUCCCAACUUCGGUUAUAAGAUCCCUCGAAGAUGACGAGGUUAAUAGGUUCGAGGUGGAAGCGUGGUGACACGUGGAGCUGACGAAUACUAAUCGAUCGAAGACUUAAUCAA
rnacentral:rRNA from 1 species